rnacentral:lncRNA from 1 species
AUGCUCAGAGAUGACCUUCAGCUCAGUGACAGUGAGGACAGUGAUGGCGAUCAAACCCCAGAGAAGCCUCCUUCCGCAUCUGCACCUCCAAGGUACCGUGUGCGGGUUUCUCCCCAUCUGCACAACAUGUUCGCUUUGUUUGCUCCCAAAUGGGGAAACGCCAGCCUCUUGUCGUACUUUCAGAGCUUCUUCGUGGGGAGAUGGAGGUGGAGGAGCCCCGUUAAAAGAAAGGACCUGUUUCAUAUUUUGGAAGCUUCCAUCAGCCCUGGAGAGGUUGUUCACUCUCUAAAAGAGGCAGCGUCCCCGCAUCCCCCUAAACCUGAUCAGUUCCUUAGGUUUAAAAUGUGCGUGUUCAACGAUAAAUCACUUUCACCAGGAUAAUCGCAACCAGCAUUUGAACAGUUAUACUGACCAGCCCCGUGUUUUCAUCAAAGUGACAGAUGGGCUGUGUUUUCGAACAUUCAAGCUGAACUAGUUCUAGAAAUUGAUUCCCCUCGUGCCUGUCUUCGUCGUUCUCCGUGAACUUUCGAAUCUUUUCAGCUGCUUUAGGAAAGGGCCCGCAGCACAGUUUAGUGAGACGGAACGCGGCACUGAUUGCGCUUUGUACACAGCUCGCCGUGUUUGAGAAAACGUCCUGCUCGGGGUUUGGGCAAUGGGAACUCCCUGAACCAGCCUGAUUUACCAUUUCCUCUGGUACUGAAUCGAGUGAUUCGAUACGCCAGCACCUGUCUUCCAGGAACAGAGUUAAAUGACCCCCGAGCUGUUUGAUUCCCUUGAGAUGUGGUCACCCGUUCGGGGACCAGCUCAGCGCUGAAAAGCUUCCCCUGGGACAGCUGAGGUUGUAGUUACUGCGGAGGAUGGUCGUGGAAUUAUGUGAGGUCUUAAGGCUUCAUAACCUCUGCUUAUUUGUUUAUAUCUCACUUUGCUCAGUGAUUUCUGGUGGCUUGUAAUGACCCAGAAAAUAUGACAAGGUAAACCUAACUUCAAAGGGGAUGGGGGGGAAAGGUGGAAAAAAAAAAAAAAAGGUAAAGGAUAAUCAGAGGCAGGAAUAAUGUUGCAAAUGUCUCUCUUUCUCAUCAUCCCUGGCUCAAGCUGUUCAGCUACCACAAAUUUAAGGCAACAUUUUUAUAUGAGAGAAUCCUGUUGUUGUAUAGUAUUUGUUUGCAAAUUGCCUCAACUAGUGAGUUUAAUAUUAUCUAAUAAUGUUGUGUUAUUCUAGUAGCAUUAUUUAAUGUAUUUUGGAAAUAUUUGAGGUCACUUUG